rnacentral:lncRNA from 10 species
GAUCCAUUGCAUAUAAAACUGAACUAGAGUCCAUAGUUUACGGUGGGGAAGGCUCAGAAGAUAGAGGCAAGAAUGUAGCUGCAGCAUUUUCUUUUUCUUCAUAUCUAGGAGGCAAUUCAGAUGGAAGAUGUGGAGUGUGUGAGGCCUCAGAAGAUGAAUUCGUCCCAGAAAUGGCCCCAGAGAAAAGGCACCCUGGCCCCUGCUCCAAGGCCCACUGCCUGCUCUGUCAAGGCAGGGUGGAGAGGGAGUUCCUUAAACACGAAUAACAAGGUAAGGUGGUGCUAUCCCCAGCAAUGAGCACCAGUCUCUCUGUGCCUGCUGCUCACUGCAUGCAAAAAUGCACAUAUCUCAUUGUCUUACCUGCUUCACCCUGUGACAAUGUGAAGCAAUUCUUCCUUCCCUUCCUAAACCCUGGUUUCCCAUUCUAGAAGGUACCACCAGAGCCUUCUCCAGCCCUGCUCCCUGAGCACACCAUUUCUGGGGUAUGCACAAGCCCCUCCUGGGGGUCUCCCACUAGUCCCUGACUCUUUGCCCUUCUGGUUCUCCAACAACCUCUGCAGCUCCAUCUCCAUCACCUCCUCUCUCUCCCAAAACCCAGCCCUUCCCAGUCUGCCUCCAAGGCCCUCAUCUCACUGUACCGCCACCAUCAGCCGCCCACCAUCCUUUCCCCACCGAAACCAAGCUCAUCACUCACGUCUUCUCAGUUGGGGACCUCUGAGCUUCCCUGUCACUCACCCUGGAACUCAUCAUCUUCGCCUCUUCCUCAAUGUCAUUCUCCAUCCAGACCCCCUCCCCCAGGCUCCUGGCACCUCAGGCCCGUCCCACUAGAGCCUGCCUCGCUGCAUUCUGUGUGGGGUGGGUAUUGACCUGAUAUUCUCUGCGGCCCAGGGAAGGAGCGAAUAUUGAAGGAGAGGCCCAGUUGUGUUGGAUCGGGGCUCAGGCUGACUUUAGCCAGUCACCCAAGCACGGCCAUCAGAGUACUAAAGCCCUUCUGUAACUGUUGGGGAUCCCCUGAGACCCUCACACCUCUCCAUGAUCUAAAGCAGUGAAGCCUAGCAUAGCAGGGGCCU